UGACUUUGCCCCCAGAUCCCAAGCUACCUCCCAAGCUAAUUUGUAUCGGUCCGCUGGAGCCUCCAGAACAAAUGUGGCCUCCAGGACGAGAUUAGUAGCCAGAAGGCCACCACCCAAAAGGCAAGGAAUCCUGCCAAGUAUUUGCUAUUGCUUUACCCCGGAUGUUCUCUUAUAUCUUGCAAUGCUGACAUGCUUCAUCCUAGUUUUGUCUGCAAUUGUGAUGACUCAGAUGUAUAGAGAGAAAUUAAAGAAACUGAACAGAUUAAAUACAGCUGUUAAGACUAUUACAGAAUAUGCAAUCUCAAAGGACCCAUCUCUCAAAGAAAAGAAUGAUUCUGAAAUACUGAAGAACGUGCAGAGGUCAGCAAAUACACUUGCGUUGUGGGUGUUCAAAAGCAUGGAAUUGGAAAAAGC